rnacentral:rRNA from 1 species
UACGGAGGAUGCGAGCGUUAUCCGGAUUUAUUGGGUUUAAAGGGUGCGUAGGCGGACUGUCAAGUCAGCGGUAAAAUUGAGAGGCUCAACCUCUUCCCGCCGUUGAAACUGGUGGUCUUGAGUGGAUGAGAAGUACGCGGAAUGCGUGGUGUAGCGGUGAAAUGCAUAGAUAUCACGCAGAACUCCGAUAGCGAAGGCAGCGUACCGGCAUCCAACUGACGCUGAGGCACGAAAGCGUGGGGAUCAAACAGG